AAAAAGAAUUGUUCAGACGAUGACCGCAUUCAAAUCACAGACCCCCUCCCCAUUGUCACGUGUCUAUAAUUUUAGCACCCCCAAAGCCGGUGGUCUAGUUGCAAGUAUACGGCUUCGGGUAUUGUCAUUCACGGUUUUCCGCGAUUUACACCGCGGUUAACGUUUUCGCCGCGUCCCGACCUCCCGAUUCCCGGCCAAUUGCCGCCGACCGAACGACUGCCGCACCGUUUCGCCGUCUUCGCCAAAGUGUUCCGUCGAUUUUGUAACGUUCCGCGCGUUCGGCUUCCGGACGGUUCGCGGUUUCGUUAAUAAUUUAUCCGCGCGCCCGGGCGAAUAUUUGCUCGGCGGUUCGCGAUGAAAUUCGUAUUCUCUC